rnacentral:rRNA from 1 species
AUUGAACGCUGGCGGCAUGCUUUACACAUGCAAGUCGGACGGCAGCACAGAGAAGCUUGCUUCUUGGGUGGCGAGUGGCGAACGGGUGAGUAACAUAUCGGAACGUACCGAGCAGUGGGGGAUAACUAAUCGAAAGAUUAGCUAAUACCGCAUAUAUUCUGAGGAAGAAAGCAGGGGACCAUUUGGCCUUGCGCUGUUUGAGCGGCCGAUAUCUGAUUAGCUAGUUGGUGGGGUAAAGGCCUACCAAGGCGACGAUCAGUAGCGGGUCUGAGAGGAUGAUCCGCCACACUGGGACUGAGACACGGCCCAGACUCCUACGGGAGGCAGCAGUGGGGAAUUUUGGACAAUGGGCGCAAGCCUGAUCCAGCCAUGCCGCGUGUCUGAAGAAGGGCUUCGGGUUGUAAAGGACUUUUGUCAGGGAAGAAAAGGAUAGGGUUAAUACCCCUGUCUGAUGACGUACCUGAAGAAU